rnacentral:lncRNA from 1 species
GCUGCAGGAGGCAGCCGGCGACCCCGACGCGCCGCCCAAGAAGCGGCUGCGGGCGGCCGAGGCGGCCGAGGCGGCGGCGGCGGCGGCGGCGGCGGCGGGCAGCGGGAAGCUGGAGGAACGGCUCUACUCGGUGCUGUGCUGCACCGUGUGCCUGGACCUGCCCAAGGCCUCCGUGUACCAGGUAGGGCCGCCGGCCCUGCCCGGCGCCGCGUCUCCUCGAGCCGGGCCCGGAGGCCCGGGGCCGGCAGCCGGGACCCUCUCCGGUCCUCACCUCCGCCUUCUGCGCCCGCGGGACCCUGGAGCCUGUCCCGAAACUCCUCGUUUUCUCUCUCCUCUCCUUGCUCCGAACCCCCUUUUUCCGUGUUCCGACCCUCUGUCAGUUUCAGUUUUCUCUUUCUUGUUCAGAUCCUGCCUCUCCCCUUCCAGGUUCCUUCAAGGUUCUCUUCUUGAUACCUUCCGCUCCCCUCCAGCUGACCCCGAGGAGAGCUAGAGACAGGUGCCUAUGCUCCCUGCCCAUUCUUGGCGCUGCUCCUCACUCCCAGGCUUUCUGGCACACAGGCCCCUUUACUUGAGGGAGAUCCUCUGUUCUGGCAGCCACACCCCCAAGCGUGUCCCUCCAUUUCUGAACCCGUAUACAUUUUCUUUUCUGUUCUCCAGAGCCCUGUCAAAUUCUUUCUGAAAAACAGGAAGAAGGGAGGGGACUGCCUUUUGUCCCUCCCCCAGCCCUCCUGCUCCGGUCUGGAGGAACCCCUGCCACAAGACUGGCAGUCAGGGUACUUUCUCCAGAUCAAGCCAGAGUUUCCCACCCCAGCCCCCCUCAUCCAUUCCAAGCCUGGUUUCCUUGGUCUCCCAUUCACCAUCUGAGGGAGAUCCAGUGCAGUGGAUGGACUCAGGAUCCUUGCCACCUCAGGGCUGCUUGAUGGGUACCUGGUCCAGGUAGAUCCAGAAUGUCCCCUCCUGGUUACAGAGCAGACUUCUGGUUUAGGCCCAGAGUCAGUGGGCAGUAUCAGUCUGCCUUCUCCUGAUCGUCCCACCUUGGCCCCAGCCCCUUUGAGAAACAACGUGGGUUCCUGUCAAUUAUUUUGUACUUACAGGAGCUGGAAAUGGCUGGUGGGUCCUUGCUUCUGUUUAGACAGGGUCCUGUGCGAGAGGGCCACAUAUGUAGGAAGCAGGAUAGGGCUAGUUUGGGUUGCUAUUUCCCUAGCCUCUGGGUCUCUCAGUCCUUUCUGCUCUGACCAGAGGUUGCUUGGGAGGACCCCAGUGUCCUGGAUGGGGCAACCACCUUCAUGCAUGUCAGGCUGGGGUCAGCGGGGGGAGAAUCUUCCACAGUCCUGGUCCCAGCACCAGCAUUUACCCCUCUCCUUGGGGACCAUCUGGACCCCUUUAACCCCUAGCCCAUUUUUUCUUGCCUACAGCCUCAUGGUCCCCUCUGCUGGAAGAGCUUUUCCUCUCCUUGGCCUUGAGUGAGAGCCAAGUCAGUAGUGGGGAGAUCCCAGGGAAGUCAGGGGUAUCCUUGUCUCCCUUCCUGUGAAUGGUCCGGAGCUGGACUUGGCAUGAUGACAGGCCACCCAGUACUGGCUUCUAGUGUACACAGCUCUGCUUGUGGCCAGACAAGCUGGUGACCAGGCCUCUGAGCCUGGCUGGUUCAAACUAGCCUGUACUCUGUUCAGAGUAAGCUCUGGCCUGGGCAGCUAGAGGCAGGGCAGCUGAGCAGAUGUAACAGCAUGAAGUCCAGGGUUGCCCUGACUAGUGCCCUGCCAGGUGAGGCUGCCCCGUGGCUUCCCUGAGAGCAGACAAGCUGAGCAUGGGGAGCCAUGGAUACUGACACUAAGUUGUGGGCUCUGCCACAAGCCUCCAUCCCACCUUCAUUCUUCCCAGGUGACACUCAGAGCAAGAGUUUCUCUCUCAUCUCUAGAAGUUGGGAGAAGGAACUAGAAUAUGUAGCUGUAGAAGAGCCUUUGGGCCCUGUGACGGAACUUUGGCUGCUUAUGGACUUGCUGUGUGAAAUGGGGAGGGGGCCAGGGGAAAGAAGGAAGCGUUCCUAUUGCCUCUGAAUGCCACUGGGGACACUUCCCAUGGUGGUUCCCUGCCAUGUACAGUGACUCUGGAGGUUAAUUAUUGCUGUCCCCACCAAGUCGUUGUGGGUCAGGACAGACCAUGCUCUUGCCUGGUCUUUCCAAAGGUUCUAGGCACAGAUGGAGUGGGCAUGCCCCUAGUCAGGGCCUACUGCUGACCACUACCUUGGCUUGGCCCCUUCAUCUUUUGCUAGCCUUCAUUGAUGACCCACAUUGAUUGGCUGUCUAUCGUGAACAUUGAUUGACUGUCUAUCGUGAACCAGUCUUUGCCUUCUUGCUCUCUGCUCCUCAGGCAACAUUUUUCCCCCUGCUGCUGGGGAUUGGACCUGAGGGCACUUUACUACUGAGUUACAGCCUCGGCCUUUUAAAAAAAAAUUUUUUUUGUUUUGUUUUGUUUUUAAUUUUUGAAACAGGUUCUCACUAAGUUAUCAAGGCUGGUCUUGAACUUGUGAUCCUCCUGCCUCAGACUUCCAAGUUACUAGAAUUACAGGUGUGCAGCUUGGGUCCUGCUGGCAACAUUUUGCCUGAUCCCAGCAGAAUUCAUGGCUGGGAAUGGGCCUCUGCCAUGCCUAGUGUCCUGAGGGCUGGCUCAGGCACUCUGCUCUGACAUGAGGAGAAGAGGCGGUGGCCAUGCUGAGCCCUGUGUGUUGUAUCUCACUCUGGGUUAUGUGGUUGGCUGGUUACAUGGCAACUUUAGAAUAUAUUACCUGGCAGCCAGGCACCAUUUGUGGUGCUAAGGAAGCUUUGGGUAUUGGCAGAAACAGCCAUGAGCCUCAUGCAUGUGUUCAUCUACCUGGUUCAAAACUGAGUCCUUGGACCCACAGGGCCAGCUUCCCCAUGGGCCAGACACAUACACCAACAUGUAUCAGGUUGGGCAGUUUGUUAAGGCCCUCAAGCAAAUGGUUCUCGCUGCUGUGGCCUAUGUCAUGUCGGGUUAAGGGCCACUGCAGGGAUGGCCGAUGCAUGCUUUGAUGUUCUGUGUGGGUGAUAGGUGUGUCCUGGGCAACUGGCCUGGCGAGGUGUGCAGCCACCUUCCUGAAUCCUGGGCAAGGCCCUUCCGAAGUUCCAGGCAGGCAUCAGGGCAGGCAACCAGGUGUAUGGCAGGAGGGCUGGAGGGGUAGCAGCAACAACCAUUCAAGAGUUUAGGGGCAGGACAGGAAACUUAUGCUGACACCCUGCUCUGGAUACAGUCCUGGGCCCCAAGGGCAGUAUGACCUGUUAGCACCUCUGCCUAUGAAAUACCUUCUCUGAGGAAGACCCAGCCUUGGUGUGGUACCCAGGAUGUUACAACCACAGCCUGAUUCCUGACCUCCCUAUCCCAGCUCUCCUGGCACAACCCUUUAUAGAAGGCUCAACUUGGUUCUCCCUAAGGCAGACCCAGUCCCAGCCCUUUGUCUGGAUGUCUGUGAGGCCCAAAGCCUGAGUCUUGACAUCUGGAGGAAGACAGUACUUUUCAUUUCUACUCCUCAUGAACUUUGAGGUACAGGAGUCAGUAGGUGGUGGUCUUUUAUCAUGGGAUGUGGUCCAGCCUCCAUCUGGUGUGACCAUGGCCUUCUGGCAUGCCCCAUUGUUGCUCUAGCACACCUUGAGCUGCUCUCCAUGUCACCCCUCACAUCUGCUCUUCUUUUGGCUUGUCUGAGGCAGUGCCCCAUGUCAAGACAUUCCCCACUCCCUGCCACAAAGGUGCCCAUCCCUCCCUAGUGCCUGAAUCCCUCUCAGCCCUGAGGGAGGGUGGUAUGUUCUGCUGCCAUCCCACUCCAAGACCUUCUGCCUCCAUGCCAAGUCUCGGCUCUGGGGACUUUUACCUGAUUGAUAGUCCUAUCGAUGAAAGGCCCAGAAAACAGGUACUGCUCCAUCUCUGCCCACAGUCCCUCACUCCCUGAGAACAUGUAGCAGCUCAGGCUUCAUCAUUCACAUGGCCCAUGAGCUCAGAUACCACUGAUAUUUUUUUCCUUGAGACAGGAAAGAAUUUUGGAAAUAAGUCUGCUUAGGUGUCCAAAACCCAGGACUGAGCAAGGAGGGUUUCUGUAGUUUCUAUAGUCUAUGUUGUUCUUUUUGUGGUGAUAGUUUAUCAAUAUAAGUCAUUUUAUUAUUUGUAGUAUUGGGGAUUGAAUCUAGGGCUUUGCACAUACUAGGCAAAUGCUCAAUCAGUGAGGUAUGUUCCCAGCCUUUUAAAAUUUAAUUUAAUUUAGUUUUGAGGCAAGGUCUUACUAAGUUGCCUAGACUAGCCUUGAAUUUGUUAUCCUCCUGCCUUAGCCUCCUGAGUUGAUGGAAUUUCAGGCAUGUGCCACUGCACCCAGGUUUAAAUUACUUUUAAGCAGUAUUUGCUACUGAGAGCAUUUCUAGGUGGGAUGGGGGUGAGUUGCUGAGCCCCACCUGAAUUUUGACAUCAGGAGGGGAGGUCAGAUUUCAUCUGAUUCAGUAAUUCAGAUCUAGCCUGAGUGGAAGGUUUAAGUCCUGCCUUCUCCCUUAAUGAUUAUGUGGCCUUGGACAAGGAACUAGUCCUGCUCAGGUCCAUGCUAAGGAGGUUAAGGAGGCUUGGUUGAGUGUGGGAUAUGUCCCAAAGUACCACUGUGGUUGUUAAAGCCUUGCCUACACUGGGAGGCUCUUGGGAGGAAGGAGGCACCUCCAACUACUGAGCAGUGCUUUAGGGUUAGUGUCCAAGGGGAAAUCCCUCAGCUAUAUUUUGGUAUUGUGACCUCUGCAAAGGGCUGUGGGUCUCUGACCACAGGGCAGAAGGGUAGACUGUUCACAUGGGUCUGGGUAGUGGAAAGAGUGGGUCCCCAGGGUUUGAAAGGAUCAUGUGGUACAGGGUGGAAAGAGGUCCUAAAAGGCCAGCUGACCACAGAAAACUCAUGACCAACUGGAAGUCGUGGGGCCCCAUCUCUAGGACCUGCUUGUGGCCAGGCUUCUCUUUGGGCUGGGACAGGGCCACUUAUAUGAACUCCGGGUAUACACAGGCUGAGCACAUGUGAGCUGCCUGCAACAAGGUGGAGAGAAGGGCUAGGUGCUGUCCUGGGAUGUACAGGCUAUUUCUAGGUCUUCCUGGGCUCUGCUGUGGAUGAUCAUAAGGGUGGUGUAUGUUUUGAACCUGCUGUGGUCUGGCUCCCCACCCUUGCCACCAGUCACUUUAACCCUCUUACCUCAUUAUAAUCAUCACCUUGUGCAUGUGAGGAAACUAAGAAGAAAAUUGAUGAGGCUAAAGUCAUGCUGCUGUUGACCUUGGUCAGGGGUCUGAGUCCAGAACUGUGGCUCCAAGCCAGCAUCUGCCCUAGGAGGGAUUGCUUGGGAGGCCCUGUAGUGUUGUUCUGGAUUGCAGGUACAAGUCCUCCUGGCUGCUGUAGGAGGGCAACCUGACCUGCGUUCUGGAGGUACCUGGGCUCUUGGGUGCCUGACCCUACCAUGUUGAGUGAGCAUUGUGUGUAGUCAUUGGGUGGGGCCCAGCUUCUGGCUUGGCAGUGGGCACAAAUCAAGGGGCCAUGUACAGUCUGGCCCACCCACUGCUGAAACUGUGUGGCUACCUUAUGGCCAGGCCUAUGUGUGUUCAGGAGGUUGACAGAAGACAUUAGGGCAUAGUGACCACCCUGCUGUGGUCAGACUGUCUGAUCUGAGAGUUUACCUGGAGAAUGUCCCUUAGCUGGUGAGGGGCUGUGUGUGGGUGUGACUUGUCCAGUAUGCCAUAGAACAUCUUCAGCUGAGUAGUUGUCAGGGGUGAAGGGGCAGUGACCCCAGAGCUUACAGAUCCCCCAGGAGGCCCAGAGGGAGACUAAAGAGGGCAGGAUUAAUACCACCUCUCCCAUAGUGAGGAAUUAACUACUUGUUUUGGGGUCUGUGGCCAGGGGUUGGUAGCAAGUGUGGUGCUGAGAAGUCAUGGUGCUAUGCUUGGCAGCCUUGAUACCCACCUGGCAGGACCCAGGAUAGCUGGGGUGCUUAUAAUCAGGAGGAGAGGCCCAGUGGGCCAGGAUGGGGGCAAGUGGCCCCAGCCCUGCUUGGAACUGCUGGGAAGACCAGGCUGUAGCCAGCAAUACUGUUGCCCUCUCCUCAGGCUGGUGGACCCGGGAGGCAGCUCUUAGCUGGGCCCAGAGCUUCAUCCAAGGCCUAGGUAGCCUCAAAGCAGGGGACUCGUGCCAGUUCCUUGUGGGCUUCCCUCUUGAGGGAUGCCUCAUGGUGCUACAUGGCUGGCUCCCCUCUGAGGAUGCAACUUGAGGAAUAUGUGGCCAUCUGAUACUGUGCUAUGUCCUGCCCUCCCUGGCAGUAUCAGCAGCAGCCCUUGGACCAGACAGUCCAAGUAGGUGGGGGCAAAGAGAGGCCCUGUGACCUGAGCCCUUGUGCUACCCACAUUCCACACCCCACUGACUCCUGGGGCUAUACAAAGCAACCUGGUUUUCCCACCAGGACUUGCCUUAACCCCCUCCUCAGCCAGCUUCUAUGUCUGGACCUGCUGCUGCCUGGCCCCUGCUAGGUUCUCUCAUCCAGGCUGCACCCAGCCAGUCACUCCUCACUCGCUGUAGUGUGUUUUAAUUUCUAACCUAACUUAGAGCAUGAGACUUGAAUGCAGAUGAUGUGUGGUGUUUUUCUAGAUGUGGUUUCUGUGGCAGUACUCUGUUGCCAUCAGUCCUCAGCAUGUAGGUUCCAUCAGGCCUGGCCUGAGAGGUCCUGCUGAAGCAAUAGAAAGAUAGCAAGGAUUCACUAAGGACCCCACCUGUAUAGUGUGAUCCCUGGCAUAGCCAGGUGGCAGCUUAUGAACAUCCUUCUCCCCAGUGCACACUGUCUAGAAGCUGUAGUGUGAUGGGCUUGGCAUAUGGGUGUCUCUCUGUCUUCCUCUGUGCUGCUGGCAUGGAACCAGUGCCUCUACAGGCUAGACACGUGCUCUCCCACUGAGCUAGACCCCAGCACCUGGGCCUCCCCUCUCAUACUGUGAGCCUCUUGAGGUCUUCCUACCCCAAGUCCUUUGAUGGCACCGUGUGAUGCUCAGAGGUGUAUGUUGAACAAGUGAGAGAUGCAAGAUGGGAAUGAUUGUGGCAGCACUGUCCACAUGAGCAAGGUCCCCCCAGCAGGAGCGGUCUGGCUCUUGCUGACCCAACACAGUACCAUGUUCGCUCACAGCCCCCAUUCCUACCUGCCUCCAUCCUGGGUCAUCCUGGCCUCCUGCCUGCUACAGCUCUAUGUCAUUCUGGUGAUAGAUAGCCCCAGCAAGUAGCUCCUCUUUCUGGGCAAUCGCAGCUGCUGGCUUUCACCUGUGCUCACUAGCAAGGGCUGGCAUGAAGAACCAGGGUUUAGGUCACCCUGAGGGCCCUAGUCCCCACACGAGCAGCGUUUCAAGAAGGCACAGAGAGAGAGCCUGCUGCAGUGUGUGGGGAGCAGCUUCCACUCCCCAAUGAGACAGCUGCUGGCUGAGGGCCUCUGCCUUGCCAGGCCAAGAACCAGAUGUUCUUAUAGGACAGGGCAAAGGAAAACUCCAGGUUCUAAGACCUGGGUUUGCCAAAUCAAUCUCCACCAGUCAGGCUUGCUUCAGGGAAGAGGCGGAACCCCCAUGACCUGAUGGUGCCCCACAGAGCUCAAGCUGACUGAGCCCUGGCACCCCCUGGAGCAGCUGUUACAUUUUCUAGACACCAACAUGAACUGGGGACUGGCGUAUGCUCCCUCCUCUCCUCACCAGCUGGAGUCCCUUGGGACAACUGUCCAAGCUGACGCUACGGGAAAGGGCGGGCACGUGUGUGCGCGCGUCCUGCAGGUCUGUGAGCUUCAUCUCCCUUUCCUUCUUCACAGUGUACUAAUGGUCACUUGAUGUGCGCUGGCUGUUUUAUCCACCUACUAGCAGAUGCCCGGCUGAAGGAGGAGCAGGCCACAUGCCCCAACUGUCGUUGUGAGAUCAGUAAGAGCCUCUGCUGCCGGAACCUGGCUGUGGAGAAAGCCGUGAGCGAGCUGCCCUCAGAAUGUGGCUUUUGCCUGCGCCAGUUUCCUCGUUCCAUCCUGGAGAGGCACCAGAAAGAGGAAUGCCAGGACAGGUAACCACUAAGGCUAUGGGCUCCACCACACAUGUGGGGCCCAGGAUGGGGCUGGAAGCCCACCCUGGUGCAGGCAAGUUCCCUCCCAGGACAGGCUAGUUUGUCCUUGUUGUCUGGGCCUUGGGUACCGUAUGCAACAUAACAAACCUGUAGGCCCCAGGGUGGGGGGGGGGGGCGCAUGGGGCUUCCCAUGGGACAGGGCAGGUUCUGUGCCCAUUUGCUAUCUAGACAUGACCCUGACCUUCAGGGUUCUCUGGCCAUGGGGUAGCCCCUCAGAAGGCCCAGGACAGUGUGGCCAGCUCAGGAACUCUAGAAGCUCUGCUCUACAACAUGGGCCCAGUAGGUGGACAGGGCCGCUCAACCAGUGGAUCCCUAAUACCAGGCCUACUCUGUAAUGAUGUUGUGUGGGACCAUGACAGUGGUCAUUGGCUCCUUAUUAUGAAGAAACACCACAGCAGUGGGUACAAAAAGCAUGCUGGCUUAUAGCUCUCUCACUCCCCCCCCCCGCCCCCGCUCUCUAUUUCUGUCUUCUUCUCCUUCCCUCUUUCACUGUCUCCCUCCUCCCUCCUCCUCCUCCUCCUCUUCUCUCUCUCAAACACACACCACAUGUGGGCAUGCAGGUACAACUGUUCUCUGAGCCUGUCCUUGUGGCUGGGCUCAGGAUUAAGUAUGUCCUGCUGGAAGAGGUUUUUGACUGAGUAGAAGCUGCCUCUGGGGGAUAGCUGGUCACAGCCACCUGCUUCUGGCAUAGAUGUGACCUCAGUGUUCACCUUCUCCCAGGGUGACCCAGUGCAAAUAUAAGCGCAUCGGCUGCCCAUGGCAUGGCCCUUUCCAUGAGCUGACAGUGCAUGAAGCUGCAUGUGCCCACCCCACCAAGACGGGCAAUGAGUUGAUGGAGAUCCUAGAUGAGAUGGACCAGAGCCACCGCAAGGAAAUGCAACUCUACAAUAGCAUCUUCAGCCUGCUCAGCUUUGAGAAGAUUGGCUACACAGGUGAGGUGCCCCACUGCCCUCUGCAUGCCACACGGGUAUGAACUGGGGAUGAUGCUGGUGACCAGAAGCUGGGUAUUGGGGACAGCAGGCUCUGUGCAGUGGGCACAGGCUGCGCCGGAUGGCUAGGCUCUGGACAACCUCCAGGUGGACAGGAGGAUAUCUCAGGGAAAAAAAGAUAGGUCAGGUCGGAGACUGAGCAGAGGGAGGGGCCAACAGGGCCUAGGGCAUACCUGCAUGGCUCUCACAGUAGCCCCUGCCCCUGUCCUCCCCACCCUGGCCUACCAUCCCAGCAAGCUGGUAUCACUGUGUGGGGCUCCACUGCCUUGGGACAGGUGGGGUCUAACCAGGAAGCGGGGCGUGUGUUAGGGAAGCCUGGGAACUCAGGGCUGCCACUCAGAGCUGGAGCAAGAGGAGCCUCCAUCAGGUCAGGCCCUGUCGGCAGACCUCACUGAAGCCACCACAGGCCUCCCAAGGCUGGUAAGAAGCUGUUCAGGGACAGGACUCCAGAGCAAACUGAGGGCACCCAGCUCAGGCUGUAGAACCAGGAAUGGAUGUCCACAGAUGGGCAGACUGGACUGGGCCUAGGCCCACUGGAUCUUGUGGCUCCUGGGCUACUGCUACCACCUUUGAACAUUUCGGAAAGCAGGAGUCAGGCUGGAGCCUGGUUCAGAGGACAGCAAGAAGCACCUGCAGACAAUGGGACACUCAGGGAGACCCCAUCCCUCUACUGCUCAGCAACACCAGGUGGCCAGGGCAACCAUGCAGCCAGUCACACCAUGCUGCCUAGACUGAGCUUGGCUGGGUAUAGACCUGAGCAGGCUCCAGAGGCUGAGGGCCCAGGGGGCUACAGCAGCAGAAAGCCACAGCCCCUGGUUAAGAGCAGCCUCAGCUGAUCGGACAGGCCCUGUGGGGUCUGGGUGGGCAGGGGCAUGUGGCUACAUCAGUGGCCAGGUAGGAAGCCCCAUCCAUGCAGGAAGGACUGGUUGCCUGGGAACCCACACCUCCACAGAGGGACUUGCCAGCCACAGGCUGUGGGUACAAAAGAGGACUGCAAAAGCAGGUCUGCCCGCUGACUGACAGCCCCAGAGAUGCCAGGCAGAGCCUGGUUGCAGCUGGACACCUGAGGACCUGGCGCUCCCCUCGGGCAGGACUGGGUGCCACUUACUCACCUGCCGGCUUUUCUGGCAGCUCUGUAUCCAAACCAAUAAAGUACACUUGUUCUCAGAACUGCAUCCUGUCUGUGUGUCUG